rnacentral:rRNA from 1 species
GAUGAACGCUGGCGGCGUGCCUAAUACAUGCAAGUAGAACGCUGAAGCUUGGUGCUUGCACCGAGCGGAUGAGUUGCGCACGGGUGAGUAACGCGUAGGUAACCUGCCUGGUAGCGGGGGAUAACUAUUGGAAACGAUAGCUAAUACCGCAUGACAACAGUUAUUGCAUGAUAACUGUUUAAAAGGGGCAAUUGCUCCACUACCAGAUGGACCUGCGUUGUAUUAGCUAGUUGGUGAGGUAACGGCUCACCAAGGCGACGAUACAUAGCCGACCUGAGAGGGUGAUAGGCCACACUGGGACUGAGACACGGCCCAGACUCCUACGGGAGGCAGCAGUAGGGAAACUUCGGCAAUGGACGGAAGUCUGACCGAGCAACGCCGCGUGAGUGAAGAAGGUUUUCGGAUCGUAAAGCUCUGUUGUAAGAGAAGAACGAGUGUGAGAGUGGAAAGUUCACACUGUGACGGUAUCUUACCAGAAAGGGACGGCUAACUACGUG